rnacentral:sRNA from 1 species
GUUUUUGUCUUACGCCCUAGGGUGGGGAGAGGACUCCGGUGCCUUCGGGUCCGGGCUGGGCCGCAAAGGGCGGGGCCUGGGCCCGGCGCGGGCCGAGAGCAGAGGCCGAGACCCUGCAGGUGAUUCCUGGGGCUGCCAGCUAAGGUCCCUUAUGAUUUCUGCUCUGGCUUUGCAGUUUUCAGCCUUUCCCAAGAGCAGCAGAAAAUGAGCAAGUUCCAGAAGAAUCCAUUGCCAAACUCAAGGGACCCGUGACAUUAAAGGAUGUUAUUGUGGAAUUCACCAAGGAGGAAUGGAAGUUACUGACCCCUGCUCAGAGGACUCUGUAUAAGGAUGUGAUGCUGGAAAACUAUAGUCACCUGGUCUCAGUGGGUUACCAUGUGAAUAAGCCAAAUGCAGUCUUCAAGUUGAAGCAAGGAAAACAGCCAUGGAUAUUAGAAGUAGAAUUUCCACAUCGGGGCUUCCCUGAAGACCUAUGGAGCAUUCAUGAUCUAGAAGCAAGAUACCAGAAAAGCCAAGCUGGAAAUUCAAGGAAUGGAGAACUCACAAAACAUCAGAAAACUCGUACCACAGAGAAAGCCUGUGAAUGUAAGGAAUGUGGGAAGUUCUUCUGCCAGAAGUCUGCCCUCAUAGUACAUCAGCAUACUCACUCAAAGGGCAAAUCCUAUGACUGUGAUAAAUGUGGGAAAUCUUUCUCUAAAAAUGAAGACCUCAUAAGACACCAGAAAAUUCACACGAGAGAUAAAACCUAUGAGUGUAAAGAAUGUAAGAAAAUAUUUUACCACCUAUCAUCUCUCAGUAGACAUCUGAGAACCCAUGCAGGAGAGAAACCCUACGAAUGUAAUCAGUGUGAAAAAUCCUUCUACCAGAAACCACAUCUCAUAGAGCAUCAGAAAACACACACAGGGGAGAAACCUUUCGAAUGUACUGAAUGUGGGAAGUUCUUCUAUGUGAAGGCAUACCUCAUGGUACAUCAGAAAACACACACAGGGGAGAAACCCUAUGAAUGUAAGGAGUGUGGAAAAGCCUUUUCCCAGAAGUCACACCUCACAGUACAUCAGAGAACACACACAGGGGAGAAACCCUAUAAAUGUAAGGAAUGUGGGAAAUUUUUCUCUAGGAAUUCACACCUCAAAACUCAUCAGAGAACUCACACAGGAGAGAAACCCUAUGAAUGUAAGGAAUGUAGGAAAUGCUUCUACCAGAAGUCAGCCCUCACAGUACAUCAGCGAACUCACACAGGGGAGAAACCCUUUGAAUGUAAUAAAUGUGGGAAAACCUUUUACUAUAAAUCAGACCUCACUAAACAUCAGAGAAAACACACAGGGGAGAAGCCCUAUGAAUGCACAGAAUGUGGCAAAUCUUUCGCUGUGAAUUCAGUCCUCAGAUUACAUCAAAGGACUCACACAGGAGAGAAGCCCUAUGCAUGCAAGGAAUGUGGGAAGUCCUUCUCUCAGAAGUCACAUUUUAUUAUACAUCAGAGAAAACACACAGGGGAGAAGCCCUAUGAGUGUCAGGAGUGUGGGGAAACCUUUAUCCAGAAGUCACAACUCACUGCGCAUCAGAAGACACACACAAAGAAGAGGAAGGCUGAGAAGUAAGAUGAGUUGGGAAAUUCUCUUGACUGAAUUAGUCCUUCAAAACAAUCAGAUAAUUCACACAAGAGGUACACCUUUUGAAUCGCAUCAAUAGAGGGAAAUUUUCAGCUACAAUCUUUGCUCUCUCUGUGUAUCAGCAAAUACAUAGAUUCUGUACAUUUAUUUGGGAGAAAAUUUUAUCAUAUUGUAGGCUUUUCUAAAUAUUAGAUAAUAUAGAUGGCAGAAGUGAUGCAAAUUGUAAAACAGGAAGGAAACCUUUCAGAAGUCAUACUUUUGUUUUGCAACAUAGAAAUCACACAGGAGAAAAAUUCUGUAAGUAAAACGAAUGUCAAGACAUUUUUUGUCAGGGCAGCCAGCUGUAGACAUCCAAAAGCUCACGAGUGAGAAGCUCCUUGAGUAUCUAGAAAUCUCUUUACACAAUUGGAGCUCAUGUACUAGAGAAUUCAAAGGGAUAACUGCAAAGACAGUGGUAGAUAUAGAAGCCUUUAUUAAGAAUUGGUGUUUCAUUCAAUGUCAGAUCACUGGUACUUGGAUAGAUAUUUUAAAUAUUUGGAAGGUGUUCAAUAAAAAUUCAAAUAAUUUGUACUGAGGGAAACAGUUAUACUAGAAAUCAUGUUGCAGAUCUGAUGCCAAGAUUGUUCUAUUUUAAAAGGAAGUCUGCAAAUGUCUACAUAUAUGAAGCUUUUAAAAAGCACAAAUUAUGAGGCAACAUCAUUAAACAUACAUUAUAUAUAUGUUAGUAUUAUAUAUACUAUAUAUAUACACACACACACAUAUAUAUGUUAGUAUAUAGGAUUUUGUGUGUAUGUGAGUGUGCUAUAACAUGUAACUUGCGGAUGUUCAGUGUGCAUGUGGAAUCCAUCCAUAAUGGUACAUAGUGAAAUAAUAUAAUCUUAGUUCAGUAACUAUUAUGUCUAUGAAGAUGUUGCACAUUAAGUCUCAGUAGUGACUCUUGUUGUUAAUAUUUGUGUUGUAAGUGCAAUAUUCCUUUUAAAUUAUAAGGCAUCUUUUUAUCCUUUUUCUGUGUAUUUGUAAAUGGAUAUAGACAGUGGUACUAAACUAAUCCUUCAAAAACAAGUUAAAAUGUUUUUGUAAAAUUUUCAAAUGUCAGCUAAGUUUUGCAUUAGGGACACAUAUAUAGCAAAAGCCUGAGCUGUUUUUAAACAGCUAAAAACAGUAAUAUUUAUUAAAAUCUGCACAAUGAAAACAAAUAGUGCAAUGUAAGAAAUAUUAUGUAUUUCACUGUUGAUGUGUGAGCAGGGAGCAGAGCUAUCUGCAUUUGUAUUUUGUGUGAGAGUCCUAAAUGUUCUUCACCAACUUUUUCUUCCUCAUAGAAGCAACAUGACAUAGUUAAGGGUGUGGACUCUGGGCUCCUGCUGCCUGGGCCCCGAUUCCAGCAUGGGGCAUGCUACUUAAUAUCUCUGUGCCUCAGUUCCCAUCCCAUAAAAGAGUAGUGAUAGUGACAACAUCUUAGGAUUGCUUUGAGGUCUAAAUGAGUUAACAUUUUCAAAGCACUUAGAAUAGUGUCUGAGACACAAGAGCUAUAUGUUAGAGGUUAUCAUCAUUAUUUGUAUUUUGUGAAUUACGCUGCAAGGAAAAAAAA